rnacentral:lncRNA from 14 species
AAGAGCUGCUGCAGAAAUGGGACCAGAGGAUAGACUCUUCUGCAUUGGCUUUAACAUGAAGGGGGGAGAUGAACAAACCUUCCAGCUGUUCAUGUAUGGAUGCCAGAAGCGUGGACUGUUAUGUAUGGUAUUGAAGAUACAUCCUCAGAGCUUUUUCACUUCCAUAACCUACUGUGUGCGACAGGCAUUGUCAGUGGAGGAAAGGGGGAUGUAGAUGCUGGGAUCCGAACUGAAGGGCAGCUUCCAUGCCUGCUCUCAUCCUCUGUCAUAUAGCAGACACACAAUGUCAUAAAGAGCUUAUCAACAUUAAGUUGAGAGAGGUGUACUUUGUGAAUGUAAUUACAGUCUUUCAAGUGCAUGGUAUAAAGUUAGUGUCUCACAGACUGCAGGGAGUAUCUUCUGGGGAGCACCUCCCUUUCAUCUUCCUCCUUUGAGCUUAGUGUUCCCUCUGUUCUUUCUGAUUCUUUCUGUUCCCACCUCUCUCUAGCUGGUGUUUUCUUCUCUUUCUUAGAUAUGUUUUCAUAAAAGUGCCACCAGAUUGGCUGAUGGGCUCAGCCUUCACCUGCAGUGGGUCCACUGCAAAGCCAUCUGUAAUCGUUUGUGACUGGCCUCUGACCUCUUACCACAGUGGCUGCUCCUGCAGUCUUCCCGCUACCACAAUCUUGACAUAUACAAUGCCAUAUACUACCCAGUACAGGUUUCCAAGUCCACAUAGUCAAGCUGGAUAGGAAAUGUGACCAGGUUAUCUCAAUCAAGGGAUAUUUUUGCUGAUUACCAAAACUUUAUUACUUUAUUCAAAAGUCUUUUAAUUACAUACUGUUAUUGUUUGUGCAACAUCACACAUUCAGUAUUAUAUUUGGAGGCUCUAUAUAUUUAUGGAGUCAUGCAACCUUUGAAAGGAUGUUAUUUGUUAAUAUUGAUAAUACAUUCAGGAAUUUUUAAGAUAAUGUGCAUUUUCUAGAGAAAAUACCCCCAUUAUCUUGAUAUGCAAGGUUCUUUAAUUUGCUGAAUUCGUUCUACUUGCAUCUCUUUGAUAUGACUUCCACUUGAAGCACAGAUACACUCCAUAGUUUUUAUUGCAGGCAGAUGGUAAGAUUUGUGUGGAAAUCCUAGGCAGUUUUUAUUGGGCUGUUAAUUAGUGGCAUUUGAAUUAUUAGGCAUGGUAAUCUUUCCUUAUUUCUGCAACAAUUAUCCUCCUUUUGGAGAGAAACGUG